GCUGAUGUGAGCCAAUGGCAGGCCGCUGGUUUCCAUUUAACGACCAGAGAAGGCGGUUCGAAUCCGUCCAUCAGCA
rnacentral:tRNA from 2 species